AGAUUGAACGCUGGCGGAAUGCUUUACACAUGCAAGUCGAACGGCAGCACGGGGGCAACCCUGGUGGCGAGUGGCGAACGGGUGAGUAACACAUCGGAACGUGCCCAGUCGUGGGGGAUAACUACGCGAAAGCGUAGCUAAUACCGCAGUACGAUCUAUGGAUGAAAGCGGGGGAUCGCAAGACCUCGCGCGAUUGGAGCGGCCGAUGGCAGAUUAGGUAGUUGGG
rnacentral:rRNA from 1 species